AUACGUCGGGAGCGAGCGCUGUCCGGAACCAGCGGGGGUAAAGGGAGCGUAGGCGGGAGAGCUAGGUAGUGGUUAACUAGAUGGGGGCAACCUAAGGGGUGCAUUUGAAACUGCAUUUCUUGCGUGAGGUAGCGGUAAGCGGCAUUCCAGGAGUAGCGGCGUAAUGCGUAGAUAUCAGGAGGAACACCGGUGGCGAAGGGGGCUUACUGUGCUUUUACUGACGCUGAGGCUCGAAAGCGUGGGGAGCAAACAGGAUUAGAUACCCUGGUAGUCCACGCUGUAAACGAUGAUUACUAGGUGUGGGGGGACUGACCCCUUCCGUGCCGCAGUUAACACAAUAAGUAUGCCACCUGGGGAGCACGUUCGCAAGAAUGAAACUCAAAGGAAUUGGCGGGG
rnacentral:rRNA from 1 species